rnacentral:rRNA from 1 species
AAUAGAUACCCUGGUAGUCCACGCCGUAAACGAUGUCGACUUGGAGGUUGUGCCCUUGAGGCGUGGCUUCCGGAGCUAACGCGUUAAGUCGACCGCCUGGGGAGUACGGCCGCAAGGUUAAAACUCAAAUGAAUUGACGGGGGCCCGCACAAGCGGUGGAGCAUGUGGUUUAAUUCGAUGCAACGCGAAGAACCUUACCUACUCUUGACAUCCAGAGAACUUGGCAGAGAUGCUUCGGUGCCUUCGGGAACUCUGAGACAGGUGCUGCAUGGCUGUCGUCAGCUCGUGUUGUGAAAUGUUGGGUUAAGUCCCGCAACGAGCGCAACCCUUAUCCUUUGUUGCCAGCGGUUAGGCCGGGAACUCAAAGGAGACUGCCAGUGAUAAACUGGAGGAAGGUGGGGAUGACGUCAAGUCAUCAUGGCCCUUACGAGUAGGGCUACACACGUGCUACAAUGGCGCAUCAAAAGAGAAGCGACCUCGCGAGAGCAAGCGGACCUCAUAAAAGUGCGUCGUAGUCCGGAUUGGAGU